rnacentral:rRNA from 1 species
UGGGGAAUAUUGCACAAUGGGCGCAAGCCUGAUGCAGCCAUGCCGCGUGUGUGAAGAAGGCCUUCGGGUUGUAAAGCACUUUCAGCGGGGAGGAAGGCGUUAAGGUUAAUAACCUCAUCGAUUGACGUUACCCGCAGAAGAAGCACCGGCUAACUCCGUGCCAGCAGCCGCGGUAAUACGGAGGGUGCAAGCGUUAAUCGGAAUUACUGGGCGUAAAGCGCACGCAGGCGGUCUGUCAAGUCGGAUGUGAAAUCCCCGGGCUCAACCUGGGAACGGCAUUCGAAACUGGCAGGCUAGAGUCUUGUAGAGGGGGGUAGAAUUCCAGGUGUAGCGGUGAAAUGCGUAGAGAUCUGGAGGAAUACCGGUGGCGAAGGCGGCCCCCUGGACAAAGACUGACGCUCAGGUGCGAAAGCGUGGGGAGCAAACAGG